UGUAGGUUCUCUGGAGGAGCUCCUUCGUUCCCAGAACGCCGUACCACAUCAUGUUCUUGUUCUUACAGUGAGUCCAGGUCUGGGUCGAUGAAGGGGGUGGCACCAAAGGGGUCAAUGUUGGCCAGCAGCAUCUUGCUAAUGAUGGAACUUCCUGCUAUGGAGGCUGCCAGACCCGCCCGCAGUCCUGCACAUGUGACAUGUGUCAUGUGACAGCCAAUCACUCAAUGACAUGGAACAGCACGGAUUGAUUCACACCGCAUUUGUGCUGGUAAACUGCAUAACAUGGACAUAUGAUGCGCGUGUUGAGCACAGGCAGGUUCUCCUUGCUGGUGGUGAAGGGCGUGAUGCUGAAGGAACUGUACGACUGCGUGCUGCGACUCACCCUCCUC